UUCGCAAUGCCCGAAAGGGUGAACGAGCGACGCCGCGUGCGGGAUGAAGGCCUUCGGGUUGUAAACCGCUUUUGCAAGGGAAAAACUUAAUGAUGGUACCUUGCGAAUAAGAGGUUACUAACUCUGUGCCAGCAGUAGCGGUAAUACAGAGACCUCAAGCGUUAUCCGGAAUCACUGGGCUUAAAGCGCGUGUAGGCGGAUGGGAACGUCGGUCUUUGAAAGCCCCCGGCUCAACCGGGGAAGCGGAGCCGAAACGACCGAUCUGGAGGGACGUAGGGGGACCUGGAACUUCCGGUGGAGCGGUGAAAUUCGUUGAGAUCGGAAGGAACGCCCGUGGCGAAAGCGAGGUCCUGGACGUCUGCUGACGCUGAGACGCGAAAGCUAGGGGAGCAAACGGGAUUAGAUACCCCGGUAGUCCUGGCCGUAAACGAUGGGCACUAAGUAGAGGGGUUUU
rnacentral:rRNA from 1 species